rnacentral:rRNA from 1 species
GGCUAAUCUGCCCUUAGGACGAGAACAACCCCGGGAAACUGGGGCUAACUCUUGAUAGGCGAAGAACUCUGGAAUGAGUCUUUACCUAAAUAGAUUCACGUUAUCCUCGUGAACCUGCCUAAGGAUGAGGCCGCGACCGAUCAGGUUGUUGGCGAGGUAAUGGCUCACCAAGCCUUUUACCGGUGCGGGCCGUGGGAGCGGGAGCCCGGAGAUGGGUACUGAGACAAGGACCCAGGCCCUACGGGGCGCAGCAGUCGCGAAACCUUUGCAAUAAGCGAAAGCUUGACAGGGCUAUCCCGAGUGCCAUCCGCUGAGGAAGGCUUUUACCCAGUCUAGAACGCUGGGGGAAUAAGGAGAGGGCAAGUCUGGUGUCAGCCGCCGCGGUAAUACCAGCUCUCCGAGUGGUGUGGAUGUUUAUUGGGCCUAAAGCAUCCGUAGCUGGCUAGGUAAGUCCCUUGUUAAAUCCACCGAAUUAAUCGUUGGAUCGCGGGGGAUACUACUUGGCUAGGGGACGAGAGAGGCAGACGGUAUUUUCGGGGUAGGGGUGAAAUCCUAUAAUCCCGGGAAGACCACCAGUGGCGAAGGCUGUCUGCUAGAACGCGCCCGACGGUGAGGGAUGAAAGCUGGGGGAGCGAACCGGAUUAGAUACCCGGGUAGUCCCAGCUGUAAACGAUGCANACUAGGUGUUUGGACGGNCACGUGCCGUUCUAGUGCCGCAGGGAAGCUGUUAANUCUGCCGCCUGGGGAGUACCAUCGCAAGAUUGAAACUUAA